AGUGGCAGACGGGUGAGUAACAUGUAGGUAUCUGCCCUUUGGCCUGGAAUAACACGAGGAAACUUGUGCUAAUACCGGAUAAGUCUUUACGGAGAAAGCUUUAUGCACCAUUGGAUGAGCCUGCACUUGAUUAGUUUGUUGGUGGGGUAAUGGCCUACCAAGACUGUGAUCAAUAGCUGAUUUGAGAGGAUGAUCAGCCACAUUGGGACUGAGACACGGCCCAAACUCCUACGGGAGGCAGCAGUGGGGAAUCUUGCACAAUGGAGGAAACUCUGAUGCAGCGAUGCCGCGUGAGUGAAGAAGGCCCUUGGGUUGUAAAGCUCCUUCGUCGGGGAAGAAAAUGACUGUACCCGAAUAAGAAGGUCCGGCUAACUUCGUGCCAGCAGCCGCGGUAAUACGAAGGGACCUAGCGUAGUUCGGAAUUACUGGGCUUAAAGAGUUCGUAGGUGGUUGAAAAAGUUAGUGGUGAAAUCCCAGAGCUUAACUCUGGAACUGCCAUUAAAACUUUUCAGCUAGAGUAUGAUAGAGGAAAGCAGAAUUUCUAGUGUAGAGGUGAAAUUCGUAGAUAUUAGAAAGAAUACCAAUUGCGAAGGCAGCUUUCUGGAUCAUUACUGACACUGAGGAACGAAAGCAUGGGUAGCGAAGAGGAUUAGAUACCCUCGUAGUCCAUGCCGUAAACGAUGUGUGUUAGACGUUGGAAAUUUAUUUUCAGUGUCGACAGGGAAACCGAUAAACACACCGC
rnacentral:rRNA from 1 species